UGAAGAAUGGUGGGGCUAUGCAACACGGAAAGUUCCUGGCCUUUCUAGUCGAGCAGAGCGUACUGUUUCAUUUUGUAUUCGUCAG
rnacentral:tRNA from 1 species